CCUACGGGUGGCAGCAGUGAGGAAUAUUGGUCAAUGGGCGAGAGCCUGAACCAGCCAAGUCGCGUGAGGGAGUACUGCCCUAUGGGUUGUAAACCUCUUUUGUCGGGGAGCAAAAGCCGGACGUGUCCGGCUGUGAGAGUACCCGAAGAAAAAGCAUCGGCUAACUCCGUGCCAGCAGCCGCGGUAAUACGGAGGAUGCGAGCGUUAUCCGGAUUUAUUGGGUUUAAAGGGUGCGCAGGCGGAUUUUUAAGUCAGCGGUAAAAUCGUGGGGCUCAACCCCAUACAGCCGUUGAUACUGGGGAUCUAGAGUGUGCUAGAGGUGUGCGGAAUGCGUGGUGUAGCGGUGAAAUGCAUAGAUAGCACGCAGAACCCCGAUUGCGAAGGCAGCAUACCGGUGCACAACUGACGCUCAGGCACGAAAGCGUGGGUAUCGAACAGGAUUAGAUACCCCAGUAGUC
rnacentral:rRNA from 1 species